rnacentral:rRNA from 1 species
CCAAUAGCGUAUAUUAAAGUUGUUGCAGUUAAAAAGCUCGUAGUUGAAUUUCGGGGUCAGUAGGUUGGUCGUGCCACCGGUACGUACUGGUCUCACUGAUUCCUCCUUCCUGAUGAGCUGUAAUGCCAUUAAUUUGGUGUUGCAGGGAAUCUGGACUGUUACUUUGAAAAAAUUAGAGUGUUUAAAGCAGGCUAACGCUUGAAUACAUUAGCAUGGAAUA